ensembl:lncRNA
GGAAAAUGAACUUACUGUCAUGGAAAGGUCAGUCAAAGGUUGAAAACUAUUUGAAGUGAGAGCUUCUGACUACUACCUAUUACUUUGAACCUAAUUGUAUACUGUUAUUUGUUCAACGGUUUGCAUAUCAGGGAUUCAUUUAAAAGUUUAAAACUUGAAAUCCCUGAAAAUAGUUUUCAGAAUUCUCUCCCCCUGCCACUCUUUCACUACCCACAUAACAGAAAGCUGGGUAGGAGAGGAGCAAUUCCAAACCAAGGCCAAGACAAGUUCUUAUGAAGCCCUCUUGGGGCAUCUGCUGGAACAAUAGUGUUGUUUUUUUCCUUCAUGCUGGCAGUGAUGCCUAUUUUAACCUAACCAGCCAAAUAAACAUCAGGGCCAAAUGUCCAUUUCUUUGUUGUUGUUGUUGUUGUUGGUUUUUUUUUAGUAUAUAUUUUAUUGCACUUUAGGUUCUGGGGUACAUGUGCAGAACAUUCAGGAUUGUUGCAUAGGUACAUACAUGGCAAUGUAGUUUGUUGCCUCCAUCCCCCUGUCACCUAUAUCUGGCAUUUCUCCACAUGUUAUCCCUCUCCAACCUCCCUACCCCGCACUGUCCCUCCCCUAUCCCCCCCAACAGACUCCAGUGUGUGAUGCUCCCCUCCCUGUGUCCAUGUGUUCUCAUUGUUCAACACCUGCCUGUGAGUGAGAACAUGCAGUGUUUGAUUUUCUGUUCUUGUGUCAGUUUGCUGAGAAUGAUGUUCUCAUUGUUCAUCACUGCCUAUGAGCGAGAGCAUACAGUAUUUCAUUUUCUGUUCUUGUGUCAGUUUGCUGAGAAUGAUGUUCUCCAGAUUCAUCCAUGUCCCUACAAAGGAAACGAACUCAACAUUUUUUAUUGCUGCAUAAUAUUCCAUGGUGUAUAUGUGCCACAUUUUCCCAGUCCAGUCUAUCAUCGAUGGGCAUUUGGGUUGGUUCCAGGUCUUUGCUGUUGUAAACAGUGCUGCAAUGAACAGUCGUGUGCAUGUGUCCUAUAGUAGAACGAUUUAUAGUCAUUUGGAUAUAUACCCAAUAAUGAGACUGAUGAGUCAAAUGGAAUUUCUAUUUCUAGGUCCUUGAGGAAUUGCCACACUGUCUUCCACAAUGGUUGAGCUAAUCCACCAGCAGUGUAAAAGUGUUCCUAUUCCUCCACAUCCUCUCCAGCAUCUGUGGUCUCCAGAUUUUUUAAUGAUCGCCAUUCUAACUGGCAUGAGAUGGUAUCUCAAUGUGGUUUUGAUUUGCAUUUCUCUAAUGACCAAUGAUGAUGAGCAUUUUUCCAUAUGUUUGUUGGCCUCAUGUAUGUCUUCUUUUGUAAAGUGUCUGUUCAUAUUAUUUGCCCAUUUCUGAAUGUGCUUGUUUGUUUUUUUCUUGUAAAUCUGUUUGAGUUCUUUGUAAAUUCUGGAUAUCAGCCCUUUGUCAGAUGGGUAAACUGCAAAAAUUUUUCCCAUUCUGUUAAUUUCCGAUUCACUCUAACAAGUGUUUCUUUUGUUGUGCAGAAGCUGUGGGGUUUGAUUAGGUCCCAUUUGUCUAUUCUGGCUUUUGUUGCCAAUGCUUUUGGUGUUUUGUUCAUGAAGUCCUUGCCUACUCCUAUGUCCUGAAUGGUUUGGCCUAGAUUUUCUUCUAGGGUUUUUAUGGUGCCAGGUCUUAUGUUUAAGUUUUUAAUUCAUCUGGAGUUAAUUCUAGUGUAAGGUGUCAGGAAGGGGUCCAGUUUCUGCUUUCUGCACAUGGCUAGCCAGUUUUCCCAACACCAUUUAUCAAACAGAAUCCUUUCCCCAUUGCUUGUUUUUGUCAGGUUUAUCAAAGAUUGUAUGGUUGUAGAUAUGUUGUGUUGCCUCCAAAGCCUCUGUUUUGUUCCAUUGGUCUAUAUCUCUGUUUUGGUACCAGUACCAUACUGUUUUGAUUAUUGUAGCUUUGUAGUAUAGUUUCAAGUCCAGUAGUGUGAUGCCUCCCACUGUGUUCUUUUUACUUAGAAUUGACUUGGCUAUGCGUGCUCUCAUUUGGUUCCAUAUGAAGUUUAAGGUGGUGUUUUUCAGUUCUGUAAAGAAGGUCACUGGUGGCUUGAUGGGGAUAGCAUUGAAUCUGUAAAUUACUUUGGGCAGUAUGGCCAUUUUCAUGAAAUUGAUUCUUCCUAACCAUGAACAUGGAAUGUUUCCCCAUCUGUUUGUGUCCUCUCUUAUUUCAUUGAGCAGUGGUUUGUAGUUCUCCUUGAAGAGGUCCUUUACGUUCCUUGUUAGUUGUAUUCCUAGGUAUUUUAUUCUCUUUGUAGCAACUGUGAAUGGCAGUUCAUUCUUGAUUUGGCUCUCUUUCAGUCUGUUAUUGGUGUAUAGGAAUGCUUGUGAUUUUUGCACAUUGAUUUUAUAUUCUGAGACUUUGCUGAAGUUGCUUAUCAGUUUCAGGAGUUUUUGGGCUAAGACAAUGGAGUCUUCCAGAUAUACU